ACAAAAUUUCAUCUAGCUUAUCAGACAUUUAUAAGAUGACUUAAGAGUUCUGAAGAAAUUUUUCUUGAUUCAUGUAUACCAUGGAAUAAAUUCAAUAACCUAGUCUGAAAUAUUACAUCAAGCAUUUUUAAAAAUGUAAUGUCAUUUGCAUUUCUUUCAAAGUUAUUGUAUCGAGUAUGGAUGCUCCAGUAAGGAAUUCCUAUCCAUUCCAAAGCAUAUCAUGUGGCACAAGAUUAUUAGUGAAGAUUUUUUUGAAGAUGUGAUAAAUUUAGUUCCUGUAGUUGGAAUUAUGCUUAUCGUGUCUCAAAGAAAAAAAGAAAUGUUAGUUUUUCAACAGAUUUGCAAUGACAAGGAAUCCAAGAUUAAUACAGAGAUGUGUAGAGUAUACAAAAUAUUUCUAGUCGAUUUGGUGUCCAGCAUGGUAAACACUACAUAGAAAUAACCAGAAGACUUCUAGAAGAACUUAUAUCAUAGCUCCAAUUUAAUGUAAAAAAUUACUAAGGAAAACAUAGCUGUAGUACAAGCAAUUUAUUCUAAAGACUAUAAUUAAAUUAAAUGAUGUUAAAGCCAUUGACUCGUUGUAUGCUACUAAAUGACAAUCUAACUUUCACAAAAUCUGAAACAUUUAUUCUUCACAGUCAGAAUAAAAGUCUGAUUAAUUUCAG
rnacentral:lncRNA from 1 species